AAACAAUUCCUUGUAAUGUCGGACUAGAUUACAGUCGCACGUUGUUUUCGCAUGUUGUGCGUUAUGAUAUUUAGAAAAGUAUUUACUAGUUUAAUCAUUUUAGGUCUUGCUGCGCAAGUUUGGUCACAUGUUGAGAUAGAGGCUGAAGAUUACUUCUUUCCCCUUAGGAGCCAGUAUGUAAUCAAUUUCUGCAAAAUGGCGGAUCAGUGUCAACACGACUUCGUUCCUAUUUGCGGACAGGACUCGCUCGGAAUCACUAGAAUGUUCAACGACAAUUGCGGAUUUAUACGAAUAUAAUUGCGACGAGAAGAAACAAUACCGUCACGUCAAAAUGGAUGUCUGCAAAUACGAAGCAGCAGCGGCUGAGAGAACAAUAUAACUAUAAAUUAACUAUGUUUCUAUAUGUAUUACAUUCAAUGCCUUGUCCUUUUGGGAUAUUUGUUGUAUAAUUUUAAG